ACCAUAAUAGGAGAGAGAGUUGAUUAAAACUCCACAAACAUAAAACAUUACAACAUAAAAAAUAGCUAGAGCUCUUAGAUAGAGAAACAGUGAAUUCAAAGUAAAAGUUGAGUGCGUUGAAACAGUUUCACGGCACCGUCGGAAACUUGAGAUUUGGUCACUUUAAAUUGUGACAUUUGCAUUCAAUCCGCACCUCUGAAUAUUGUCAGGACAAAAUCCGUUGUAACUUUAGGCCCCGAAUGGACCGCUACACAAGAUAGCAAAACGGUUACAGAUAUGGAUAGACAAUUCCAUUUAAGGGAAAUACUCCUUAAAAGGACGCAAUAGAUGAAUAGAGAAAAAGGUUUGCUUCUCCAAAGAGAAGGAUGCUAGAGGUGAUCAAGAUGGUAACUCGUGGCCAUAAAAUUAUGUGCUGUGAAGUUAAUGGGCUGAGAACCCGAAGAAUAAAGUUCACUGGGCUUAUCAGGCUCAUAAUAACUAUGUGAUGGCCCACCAGCCCAAGAGAAGUAACGGAUUGACCUCGUUGGGAAGUGAAGAAUGGUGUAGCCAGAGCGGCGGCGACUGACAAGCGGUUGGGAUAGGUUCAGUGAGUGGAGAGACAUCGGAUUGGACCUCCGAUCUGCUGCUUGGUGUGGAUAGGAACAAAGCAGGCUGAAGCCCAAGAGUGUAGUAGGUGGAGACGGCGGAGAGCACAGAUGCAUGGACCAACAAGAAUCUGAAUCUGAAAAUCGAGUUAUAUGUGGAACCCCUCGAACACAGGAGGUCGAGACGUCGAAAAUUGUGGUUUGAAGUUGAGCUUGCGGUGAGGUUGACGGGAGGUUCUGUAAGCUGGAAAAGCACCAGAAUGGAGAGGUUGGGAUUUACAGAUCUGAGGUUUAGAAACACAGAUCUUAGUCGUAGUGGGGACGGACCAGAAAGGAGGAGACAGUGAGCAAAUGAGGUAAAUAGAUUCACAUAUCGGGAGCCUCCAGAGAAGAAAAAAACGGCUGUAGAAACGUUCGACCAAGUUGGAUCCAUCGGAGCAAUGGGUGACAGAAAACGUGAGCUUGAAACGAGAAGAGCUGCGAGAGGAAGACACGGAGGUGGAGAAGCCCGAUGCCGGCAAGCUGUGGCUCUACCGACAUCAUGAAGCAGCGGGAGAACUUGCACAUCAAUAUUCGGACCUGGCAGAGAGUAUAUGCAAGAUGAUUGAUUAGAUCUAAUUGAUCUUGAUAUGUGAUUGAUCAAUCUUUUGGACAUGGUCGAUGGUUUUUACUCGAAGGACCCUUGAUUGUAGCACGAAUUCACUUCCCAGGAUGGUCGAUGGUCUCAACCAUUGUCUUUAUCAGACUGAUAGAAAACAUAUCAAAAAUCUCCCGAUCACUGCCCAGAUCCACAACAACUAUUAUGUACAAUUCAGCGUCCAUAAUUUCACUUUCCAUAUUUUAUUUGUUCACAACUUCUCCAUCAACAAUUAAUUUGUCAAAAUUCAUCCAUAUACACAUCAUAUUAUCUCCAGUAAAUUAUUCACACUUUGUCCACUAUACGAUGUUCAUCAUAUUUUAGUUUUUUACAAUAUUAAUUUAUACUCCCUCCGUUCCUUAAAAAUACAUAUUCUAAAGAAAAAUUUUGUUUCUAAAAGAUUCAUUUUUUUUACAUUUUCAAUGCAUGCUUUAUUAACUAAUUGCAAAAUUCAAAAAUCUUAAUUGCACUAAUUGAUUUUUUAUUAGUUUAAAAUUGUGGAAAGAAAAUAAACACAAAAAUUUAUGUAAAUUUAAUGUGUUUUAUUAAAAUAUGUGAAAAAAUUAGAAUAUGGAUCUUUUAGAAACAUAUGGAGUAUAUUUUAAAAAUAUGAAAGUAGAUAUCAGUUAAGGAUAUAACAUGAAGUGUAGCUCCAUUAUUAUUUUGUACCAAUUAUUUUGUUUUUAUUUCUAUUUUACAUCUUAGCCACACAAUACUACUACCUAAUUCUAAAAUCAAGGUUUAGAUCUCUUGUUGUUACAAUUUAUUACCUUUUUUGAACAAACCUUCGUUAAAUUAAAAAAACUCAGACAGAGUUAUGGAGCUCUAGCAGAGCUACACCUUAUGUAAAGCAUCUGCAUUGGCAUUGUUAGGCCAACAUUAUCGGCGUCCCAGCAGGCCGUCCUUAGGCGAAACGGGCCGAAAAAUAAAUCAAAAAUAAGAGAAUAGAAGAGAGACGUGGGUUAAUUAAGAAGUGUCAAACCUCAUCCUUAAAGAGCACGUGGCACGGUUUGAUUGGAAACCCGAAAGGGGUAGAGGAAACACGAAGGUCGGUUUCGAAUAAUCUUGGUCUCGACUCCUUUCUCUCUAUUUCGACGGCGAUUUCGACACGACGACGGCGAUUUUCGACGCGACGACACCGAUCAGUCGUUUAAUCGAAGACUUCUCCGCCAAAUCGAAUAUAGACGAGGUAUGUGCUCUUCUCUCUGUUGUGACGAUUUCGUUGCAUGCAUCGUGUUUGUAGGGGAAAGACGAGUUUCGGUGUGGAAAUCAUUCUCGGCGUCUCCCUAUUAUCUCUCUCUCGACGGCGAUCCAAUUGAAACCAGGUUUGUGUUUCUUCUAUCUCCGUCUUGGUUUGAUUUUUUUUUUUGUGCGAUAUAGAGCUUAGUAUUGAUGAGUUGAUCUAUCUACGUCUGGGUUUGAUAUUUUUUUUGUUGUGACGAUGCUUCCUGAUUGUGAUGGUUUGUAAUUGUGAUGGUGUGUAAUUUUUUUCUCAGUUGGUUUUAAUGCUAAAUUUCUCAUAUGUGAAUUCUUUUGAUCGAGUAAACAAAAUUGUUCAUGCGUUUAUGCUAAUUGUUCAUAAUUCUCUCAUAGUUUUGACGUUGAAUAACACUAGAUUUUAAAAUAGAAUUUAAAAUCAUCACUCGAAUUAUGAUAGGUUGUGUUUAGAUUUAAAGUCUAUUAAAAUACAUCGUUGAAUAUACUUUUACUCUAUAGAAAUAUAAAUAUAAUAUAUAUCUAAAUAAAUAAUAUAUAUAUAUAUAUAUCAAAAAAAGUUUUUGAAUGGAAAGAUCUUUUAACUUUUUGAAACUUUUAUUUCGAAAUUCUUCUUUUUUAUUUUUUAUUUUAAAUAUGAAUAUUCUUUUUUGAAACUAUUUUAAAAUUAUUAUUUUAAAUCUUAAUUAUUAUUAUUACCUCUCACAGAGGGUUCUUGAGAAGAUUGAUUACAUGGCUCCUAUUCUGGGACUCACUCACCAACCAACUACCAUUUUGAAUAUCUUCAUCAACAAUAAAAUAAGAGGCAUACUGGAAACACUUGGGCCUCUAUCUCAUGUUUGUUGUGACAGUGGACCAUGUCGAGUCUGAUUAUCAAGCCAAGUCUUUGCCGAGAUACUUGAUCAACUUCGUACAUAAAAAACCGGCAAGCAAGAGUACAGAGCUUGCAAAGCCUCUUCCUAAUCCAACUGCCUGCUCUAGAAGAGUCCACAUUCCAAAAAUACUGAUCACCAAUCAAAUGCAGUCUUAUCGACUAGACCAAAAGAGAACUCGAGGCCACAAAAAUUAACCAAAUCAGCUUUAGCUCAAGGAAUUUGUUCCAGUCCACAAGCCUCCUCAAACCAAGUCAUCCACUUUGUUGGAGGUACAAACUGAUUCUGAACUAAUUUUUGCCUCCCUUUGAGCAUUGUUAGAAGCACUUUCCUAGAGAAAACUACUGCACAUCUGCUCUAUUUUCUUAAGACAUUGGUUUUGUAGCAAGAAAAUAGAACAUCAAAACAUAACCGUGGAGUGUAUGACAUACUUCCAAAUGUUCAAUAUCCCUAUGAAAGAAACGUGCUUGAUAGUCCAAGAAGAAAACUGAGAGUUGAGCCUAUCUAACAAGGGUUGGUUGUCCUAUUUCCUGAGUUUUCGAGUAGUUAAUGGUACACCGAGACAACGAAUAGAGAAAGAGCCAUGUUGUAGACCAAGAGAUAAACGUUAUUGCCCUGCUCCUAUGACUCUAACAUCCAUCAAAGAAUACCACUAUUUUAGUCUUAUUUAGAAUUUUAGACCCAAACCAGAAACUUGCUUAAAAUCAUCAAUGAUUUGGAGAAACCUUUAAGUGAUGACUCCUCUCCAUCAAAGAAUAGGAGAACAUCAUCUACAAAGUUGAGAUGCAUUACUAGCGGAGCCUCACAUAAAACAUCUUUAUUAAACAUGAGAACCAAACAUUAAUGAAUCCCUUUUCAGGUAUUAUUUUGCUUGGGUUUGGUUUCAGUCAAUUAAGUUUUUCAAUUUUGUUACUAAACUGAACCAAAAUUUUCCGUUUUUCAAUUAAAUUAUGGCUAAAUUUGGAAAUUUACCGCUAAAUUUGUAUAGUGGUGGUUACAUUUCAUACUUCUAUUUUUGAGAAAAUUAGGUUCAGAUGCACAUUUCUGGUUAUCAAUUACACUAUCAGUCACUUUAUAACAUUCACACACUUUGAUAUGAUAAACCUAAAUUGCCCUCAGUCUAGUCUAAAUAUAUUACUAACUAUUAUUUAACCUGAGCACAACUUUUUUUUUUUUUAAUUUACAUGUUCAACAUCGAUAUUUUCCCUCAUCAUCUUUUUCACUUUCAGAACUUUCUUAUCUUUUUCUCAGUUUCAAUAACUCAAUUCCUAAUAGUGUUUGAGAAACCAAAACAUGAAGUCAAACCCAGUUUCAACAUCACAAACUCAGCUCAUACCCAACCGCCUCUACUUUGCUUCUAUUUUUGUUGCCUCCUUUAAAAAGACGGUAAGUCAACUUUUCAAGAUCUCACAUUUUUGUAAUAAGAGAUUUUGAAUUUUAUAUUUUUUGAUUGGUGAUUCUUUUUAAGAUUUUGUUGUUUCAAGAUGUUACAUUAUUAACCAUCCUCUAGUGAUUUUUUUUAAAAAAAUUUUAAUUGGUUUUUUAGAAAGGUGAGAUUUUUAUUAGUAUGCAAAAUGAUUAAUUUUUUUUCUAGAGCACAACUUUCAUUUCAUUAAGCAAACUCAAACAUUCGGACCAUAAUAGGAGAGAGAGUUGAUUAAAACUCCACAAACAUAAAACAUUACAACAUAAAAAAUAGCUAGAGCUCUUAGAUAGAGAAACAGUGAAUUCAAAGUAAAAGUUGAGUGCGUUGAAACAGUUUCACGGCACCGUCGGAAACUUGAGAUUUGGUCACUUUAAAUUGUGACAUUUGCAUUCAAUCCGCACCUCUGAAUAUUGUCAGGACAAAAUCCGUUGUAACUUUAGGCCCCGAAUGGACCGCUACACAAGAUAGCAAAACGGUUACAGAUAUGGAUAGACAAUUCCAUUUAAGGGAAAUACUCCUUAAAAGGACGCAAUAGAUGAAUAGAGAAAAAGGUUUGCUUCUCCAAAGAGAAGGAUGCUAGAGGUGAUCAAGAUGGUAACUCGUGGCCAUAAAAUUAUGUGCUGUGAAGUUAAUGGGCUGAGAACCCGAAGAAUAAAGUUCACUGGGCUUAUCAGGCUCAUAAUAACUAUGUGAUGGCCCACCAGCCCAAGAGAAGUAACGGAUUGACCUCGUUGGGAAGUGAAGAAUGGUGUAGCCAGAGCGGCGGCGACUGACAAGCGGUUGGGAUAGGUUCAGUGAGUGGAGAGACAUCGGAUUGGACCUCCGAUCUGCUGCUUGGUGUGGAUAGGAACAAAGCAGGCUGAAGCCCAAGAGUGUAGUAGGUGGAGACGGCGGAGAGCACAGAUGCAUGGACCAACAAGAAUCUGAAUCUGAAAAUCGAGUUAUAUGUGGAACCCCUCGAACACAGGAGGUCGAGACGUCGAAAAUUGUGGUUUGAAGUUGAGCUUGCGGUGAGGUUGACGGGAGGUUCUGUAAGCUGGAAAAGCACCAGAAUGGAGAGGUUGGGAUUUACAGAUCUGAGGUUUAGAAACACAGAUCUUAGUCGUAGUGGGGACGGACCAGAAAGGAGGAGACAGUGAGCAAAUGAGGUAAAUAGAUUCACAUAUCGGGAGCCUCCAGAGAAGAAAAAAACGGCUGUAGAAACGUUCGACCAAGUUGGAUCCAUCGGAGCAAUGGGUGACAGAAAACGUGAGCUUGAAACGAGAAGAGCUGCGAGAGGAAGACACGGAGGUGGAGAAGCCCGAUGCCGGCAAGCUGUGGCUCUACCGACAUCAUGAAGCAGCGGGAGAACUUGCACAUCAAUAUUCGGACCUGGCAGAGAGUAUAUGCAAGAUGAUUGAUUAGAUCUAAUUGAUCUUGAUAUGUGAUUGAUCAAUCUUUUGGACAUGGUCGAUGGUUUUUACUCGAAGGACCCUUGAUUGUAGCACGAAUUCACUUCCCAGGAUGGUCGAUGGUCUCAACCAUUGUCUUUAUCAGACUGAUAGAAAACAUAUCAAAAAUCUCCCGAUCACUGCCCAGAUCCACAACAACUAUUAUGUACAAUUCAGCGUCCAUAAUUUCACUUUCCAU
rnacentral:lncRNA from 1 species